CCAAAGCCUACACUCAUUCUUCAUUUGUUCCUACCACUGGCAUCUACACUGAACAUGUUGGGGCCUAGCACCCAUUUAGGCCCUGGGCAUACGGACUUCAGUAAGACACAAUAUGGCGCUUUUGGACAAUGGAAAGAAGCAAGGUAAGGAAGCUGAAUCUCAGAGAAGUGAGUUGCCUAAAAUCACAUAGCCAGUAAACAGUGGUGCAAGGAUUCAGUUCCAGGCUCUGAUGAGUAUCCCAGGCAGGGGCUGGCAAGAGGAUGGCUUCUUUAUGGACCUCAGGGCAGUGGGCUUGUCCUGUUGGAUCCUGGCACUUUGCCUUCCAGGUAAAGACAUCUGCCAAAAGGCCAUUCCUUGCUAUUCUGCCCAACGGUACCCAGUUCUCCAGCAACUUUCUUCCCACCAAAUAUCCUGGCUCAAGUUCCCAAGUCUCCAGGAAACUUCCUUAAGCAAGUAGUAAAGCACCUACUGCAUAUGAGGCACUAUCCAAUACUUGGGCUUGAUUAUUUCUCACCAUAUCUUUAUAAGGCAGGGCUACUUAGUUACAUUGUGCAGAGGAGGAGACCGAGGUUCAGAGAGGAGAAGUUAUUGGUCCAAGGUGAUCCAACUAGCAAUUGAAAGAGCUGGGAUUUCAAUUCAGAUCUGUCUGGCCCCAAAGCUGAUACUCAUUCCACUUGACUAUACACUCUCCUCCGAAUUCCUGAAGAACUUCUUUUAUGAGCUGCAGUAUCUCACACCUGGAACGAAGUUGCUUUGGCUUGCUCUACUUGUUUCUGGAGUCCACCUGACUACAGUAUGUAGAUUCUCAGAAUUUUAGAAACUUAUGGAUCCAUUCGUUUAAGGACUUAAUACUAUAGAAGGGAAAACUGAGGCCCAGAGAGGGCAUGUAGGUGGCACAUAAUACAUUCAUUGUUUUCUUCAUGAGAUGUAAGCCCCUUGAAGACAGGAACCAUGCCUCCCCCUACAUUUCUUAUACAUAUCCCCAACACACACAGACACACAGAUGCACACCCCACUUGAUGCAGUAUUUAGCACAAAUAAAAACUAUGACUUGUUAAGUGACAGGGACUGCUGGGUGCCAGUUAUCUUACUUGACUUUCACAGCAACCCUAUGUGGUUCAAUUUCUAGAUAAGAUUGAGGAUCAGAGAGGGAAAGUGGUGUGUCCAAGGUCACACAGUAAGGUAUUGGCUGAGGCAGGAUUCGAAUUUCAGGUCUGACAGACCCUUUCUGUCAUUCUGCAUGAUCACUUUAACAACAGCAUAACAACAGCUAAUGUUUAUUGAAUGAGUACUAUACGUGAAGGACUAGCUAAGUGAGUAAUCUAAUACAAGUAAUUAAUUCAAUCUUUACAAUAACCCUAUGAAAUUUCCUCACUCUACAGAUGAUAAAACGGUUGCUUAGGAAAGCUGAGAAACUUGCCCAAAGCCAAAAAAACUAGUGAGUGGCUGAGCCAGGUUGAUUUGAUCCAAGGUUGAUCUUACCCACACUAUAAAAGGUCCUCUUUAUCUGCAGAUAAUUGAUAUUGGAGGGAAAAUUCCACUGAAAGAGAAUCGUUUAAAUUGUCAUAGUAAAAAAAGAAUAGGUUUACUUAGAUUUCUCAUUAAAAAAUGAAACCAAAAAGUAUGAUAAGCAAUUUCUCUUAUAUUUUAAAAAAUAGGGCUGAAAUUAUAGUUCUGUUCUAGUUCUUAGGGCAGGCAAAAACAACGACUCAAACAUUAGUUGCUUUGUGGUGUGAUUUUUCUGACAAAACUGUAGGACAUCAUGGCAUAACAUCUUUUACUUUGCUUUUCAUAGCAUGAUCAUAAAGAAGGUCAUUUUAUUAAAAGUAUUCAAGGACUUUGGUUUUCCUAAGGAUAUCUCUCAAUAAUUUGUGAGUCAACUCAUUUUUGAAGCUUUUAUUUUGUUCUCAUCCUUGUUGACUUGCUCGUCAACUUUUAACUGAUCUAAUUCUGCCAGCCUUCUCUUGUGUCAAUGGCUUUGCUGAGAUGCUGGAAGUUUUCCAAUAUCACUUUUGUUGAUUUCAUGAACUCCUGAAUCUUUUCUAAUAUUUGCAGUUUUACUUUGCAAACUCAUUGGCAUUGUAUUUUCUCUUUACGUUCUGGUGUUUAUAAUACUCAACAAUCAGAAA
rnacentral:lncRNA from 1 species